AAAAGCGUUUCCUUUGGUUUUGCCGUUAUUCGUAAUACACGCACUGCACAGAAGACACGUCGUUUAAAACGUCGCCUUUAGUUAUGCUCGAUGUUAUUAAUGUGCGUCCAGUAGAAGUCCGGCUCGAUGCGUUUCGCUGACACAGCUGCUUAUGGAUCAGCUGACGAUGUUUGGAUCUCAGAUCUCUGAAUCGUGGGAAGCUGUGGUGCUUUUAUUAGAAAACGAAACCCUUUACCCCGACGGUGGGAGGAAAGGUUUCAUCAAGCAGUUUCAGCGUGGAUGACUAAAAUGCGCCUUGCGAUGAAAGACAAGACGGGACCGCGCACGGCGCCUCGUCAGUGGACGACUUGGAAUAGACUCGUGUAAUAUGAGCUUGCAUUGUGUGCAGCUGCUGCUCGCGCUCCGGGAGCCACGCGACGUGGCCGGCCCCUCCUCCCGUGUCUGCCCACGGACACGGCACCCCCCGCCGGUCUACCGACAAAGAGCGGGAUAUAUUUCACUUACAGAAUUCGGCGAUGUAAAAGGAGGCGACAUAAUUCUCUUCGCACCAGUCCAGCGUUGAGGUCGGCCGGCCCCAGUAUCCCUGCCUGUCCGCCGAGGGAGCCAUGAUGGAAGAGGAGGAGGCUGCGGCUGCUAACGGGUUGUGACUGACUUCCAUGGUGACUUUGGGCAGAGACACGGCCACCGCCGUCUGCUGCAGUUUGCCCAUCCACGUAUCCAGCUGCUUCCUGGUGAGCAUCUU